GAUCGCUUAGCUCAGUUGGUUAGAGCGUGGUGCUAAUAUCACUCUUACUCUUCUCCUGCGACAAAAAGGGAGGGGUGAGGCGUGCAACGCCAAGGUCGCGAGUUCGACCCUCGUAGUGAUCA
rnacentral:tRNA from 1 species